CGCACACCACACACACGCGCACACAUGAACACACGCACACACACACACGCACCAGGAAAACGGCACGUUGUGCGGUCCUGCUGGAGCAGCUCUCUGGGGUCCAGAGGAACGGGCGCACGCCACCGCCUCUGUUUUUAAACUGCUGUGACUUUCUCAUCUCAACGUGCAAUUCAGCUGAAGACUUUCAGACGUAUACAGUUUAUCAGAACGAAAAGGAAAAACUGAAUAAAUUAUGACUCGAUCUGAGAGAGCUUUAGAUGGUUCGUAACUUUACACUUAAAAUAACUACGCGUAAAUUAUUUUCUUUUUAAAACAAAUGUUUGUGGGAUUUUACCCUGAUAUCUUUGUCUUUGCUUCGACAAAGCGAGAGACUACACUUAGGCAUUAGAGUAUGUGUUAUAUGUACAGCCAAAGGGUUAAACACUUAUAUGAUACAUUCGUUUGAAUCCUGGGGUUUGUUUGGAAAAUUUUGUGGUAAUCUUGGACCUUCAUCUUCUGGUUUGGCAGAAGGACAUUUAUUUUUGCAGCAUCUGCUUCAUUGGUUUACAGUAUAAACUCCAGUCUCAGUGCUAUCCUGUUGCCUUUUAAAGAACCCUGGUCUUACCUGUAGAUCACGGAGCAACAUAACGGGGAAAUUUAGUCUAAAACUCCUUCAUCAAAAUGACAUCGAGUAUCGUUUGCACUCAACCCUUGUGUUCGAAGUAAGCUACGUUGUGACUGCAUUGUCUCCUGGCCUUGAUUUUAAAUGUUAUAUCUACCCACGGGACUGUGCUACAGCCUCCUCAUGUGGUUACCUUUGAAGUUCUAAACUGGAGAAUCAGGUCAGCAUUAAUUGUUCCACUUCUUAAACGUUUUGUUUGUGGGUCGGUGGAAAAAACGGGGCCCAAACUUCAUCUGCAAAAAAAGAAAAAAAAAAACAGUUCUAGAACCCAGCCUGCUGAUGGCUUUGUGAUGUCACAAUACACUGAUGUCUGGGCUAGAGAAGUGAAAGGUGAGCUCAGGAGUGGGCCCUGGACCUGGGCGGGCUGUGGAGGAGGAUGCUGAUUGGCCCUUUUGGGGGGGCGUGGCUAUGAGCAAGCACGCAAGGCCAUGUUGGGGACGAGUGUUGCCGUGGUCGACGAGCGGCAGCUGCGCUACCAGAAUGCCCCUCAGCCCAGCUCCUGAAAUGCAGUUUGAGAUCAACAGCAGGCUGCCAUGGAAACGUAACCAUAUGUCUGCUGUAACUGUGAUCUGAGGUUCGGCCUGGUGGUGAGGGGGGCCCACAUUAAAUUAUAUUUGAGCGAAAUCUGGAAAAAAAAAGAGAAAAUGACACUAGAUUUCUAAUGAGGAAUCCCAAAUGAGUCGUAUUGUUGGCAUGCCUUGUGAGUAUUUUUGCUGGUCGGGGAGAUUAAAUUUAUUUCCACCCUUGCCCCCUGAAGACUUCCACCCUUCCCAGUCUUCAGAGCGCUCUCUGCACACUGGGCUAUUGUGGGUAAAAGGAGCGUCUAAUCAUGUACAAACUGUUAUUCUUUUGUAUUGCGUGAGCAUCAUCAAGUGACGUUGCUGUUCGGUUCAUCGCAAACUCAAAAGUGCCUACUUUUGAUAAGUAUCAAAGACUGCAGUGACUUCUUCCCACUGUGCAUCCUGCGUGGAGUGCCUAACGGCUGGUAGCAGGUGUGAAAAAGGUGUGUGUGUGUGUGCGUGCGCGUGCGUGUGUGUGCAUGCAUGUGUGCAGAGGUAUGUAUGUGUGUGUAUGUGUGUGUGUGUGUGUGUGUGUGUGUGUGUGCGUGUGUAAAGGCCCCUUGGUGCUGCUCUAGUGGAUACAGCUGUAGAAAGGAGAACCUGGGAUCUGUCAACGAGCCUGCGAGUUUUAAAUGUACCCGAAUCCCCCGAAUGACUUUCUCAAUAAAAAUGACCUGGAAGUGACAUCA